rnacentral:rRNA from 1 species
UAAAUUGCCGUGGUAUUUUGACCAUGCUAAGGUAGCAUAAUCAUUUGGUUUUUAAUUAAGAUCUGGAAUGAAGGGUUGAACGAAGGCUAUGCUUUAUUAUUUUAAUUAAAGAAUUUAUUUUUUAGGUGAAGAAACCUAAAUUUUUUUAGAGGACAAGAAGACCCUAUCGAGCUUAAUUAGAAGCUUAUAUAUUCUAGGUCUAUAAUUUGGUUGGGGCAACCGAGGAAUUAACUUCCUAAGAGAAUGAUAUAGAAUAUAAUAAUUUUGAGUGAGAAGUUACCGUAGGGAUAACAGCAUCAUUUUUUUUUAGAGCUCAAAUCGAAAAAGAAGGUUGUGACCUCGAUGUUGGAUUAAGAUUUCCUUAGGGGGCAGAAGUUCUAAAGGGUUGGUCUGUUCGACCAUAAAAAUCUUAC